GCUCCAGUGGCCUAGUGGUUAGAGCACCAGCCUCUGAUGCGGGACGUUAUGGGUUCGAUCCCCAGUCGAGACA